rnacentral:piRNA from 2 species
UGACAUUUCUCACUUUGGGGCAGGGU